UACGUAGGGGGCAAGCGUUGUCCGGAAUUAUUGGGCGUAAAGAGCGCGUAGGCGGUCCGGUAAGUCGGUUGUGAAAGUCGGGGGCUCAACCCUCGGAUGCCGAUCGAUACUGUCGGGCUAGAGUCCGGAAGAGGCGAGUGGAAUUCCUGGUGUAGCGGUGAAAUGCGCAGAUAUCAGGAGGAACACCAAUGGCGAAGGCAGCUCGCUGGGACGGUACUGGACGCUGAGGCGCGAAAGCAUGGGGAGCGAACAGG
rnacentral:rRNA from 1 species